rnacentral:rRNA from 1 species
CAGCAGCCGCGGGAACACGAAGGGUGCAAGCGUCACUCGGAAUUACUGGGCGUAAAGCGUGCGUAGGUGGUGGUUUAAGUCCGUUGUGAAAGCCCUGGGCUCAACCUGGGAAUUGCAGUGGAUACUGGGUCACUAGAGUGUGGUAGAGGAUAGUGGAAUUUCCGGUGUAGCAGUGAAAUGCGUAGAGAUCGGAAGGAACAUCUGUGGCGAAGGCGACUAUCUGGGCCAACACUGACACUGAGGCACGAAAGCGUGGGGAGCAAACAGGAUUAGAUACCCCUGUAGUCCCUGUCUCUAUACA